rnacentral:rRNA from 1 species
AUUGAACGCUGGCGGCAUGCUUUACACAUGCAAGUCGAACGGCAGCGCGGGCUUCGGCCUGGCGGCGAGUGGCGAACGGGUGAGUAAUACAUCGGAACGUGCCCAGUAGUGGGGGAUAGCUCGGCGAAAGCCGGAUUAAUACCGCAUACGACCUGAGGGUGAAAGCGGGGGAUCUUCGGACCUCGCGCUAUUGGAGCGGCCGAUGGCAGAUUAGCUAGUUGGUGGGGUAAAGGCCUACCAAGGCGACGAUCUGUAGCUGGUCUGAGAGGACGACCAGCCAAACUGGGACUGAGACACGGCCCAGACUCCUACGGGAGGCAGCAGUGGGGAAUUUUGGACAAAGGGCGAAAGCCUGAUCCAGCAAUGCCGCGUGUGUGAUGAAGGCCUUCGGGUUGUAAAGCACUUUUGGCGGGAACGAAAAGGACUGUGCCAAUACCACGGUUCGAUGACGGUACCCGCAGAAUAAGCACCGGCUAACUACGUG